CCUACGGGAGGCAGCAGUAAGGAAUCUUGCGCAAUGGGCGAAAGCCUGAUCUAGCAACGCCGCGUGGACGAUGAAGGCCUUCGGGUCGUAAAGUCCUUUUCUGUGGGAAGAUCGUGACGGUACCACAGGAAUAAGCAUCGGCUAACUACGUGCCAGCAGCCGCGGUAAUACGUAGGAUGCAAGCGUUGUCCGGAUUUAUUGGGCGUAAAGAGUGCGUAGGCGGCUUCUUAAGUGGGGCGUGAAAUCCCCCGGCUUAACCGGGGAGGGUCGUCCUAAACUGGGGGGCUUGAGGGUAGAAGAAGAGAGCGGAAUUCCCGGUGUAGUGGUGAAAUGCGUAGAUAUCGGGAGGAAGGCCGGUGGCGAAGGCGGCCCUCUGGUGCUUGACUGACGCUGAGGCGCUAAAGCGGGGGGAGCAAACAGGAUUAGAUCCCCGGGUAGU
rnacentral:rRNA from 1 species